GAUGAACGCUGGCGGCGUGCCUAAUACAUGCAAGUCGAGCGAACAGACGAGGAGCUUGCUCCUCUGACGUUAGCGGCGGACGGGUGAGUAACACGUGGAUAACCUACCUAUAAGACCGGGAUAACUUCGGGAAACCGGAGCUAAUACCGGAUAAUAUAUUGAACCGCAUGGUUCAAUAGUGUAAGACGGCUUUGCUGUCACUUAUAGAUGGAUCCGCGCCGCAUUAGCUAGUUGGUAAGGUAACGGCUUACCAAGGCAACGAUGCGUAGCCGACCUGAGAGGGUGGUCGGCCACACUGAACCUCAGCCACGGUCCAGCCUCCUACGGGAGGCAGCAGUAGGGAAUCUUCCGCAAUGGGCGAAAGCCUGACGGAGCCACGCCGCGUGAGUGAUGAAGGUCUUCGGAUCGUAAAACUCUGUUAUUAGGGAAGAACAAAUGUGUAAGUAACUAUGCACGUCUUGACGGUACCUAAUCAGAAAGCCACGGCUAACUACGUG
rnacentral:rRNA from 1 species